UACAGAGGGGGCAAGCGUUGUUCGGAAUUACUGGGCGUAAAGGGCGCGUAGGCGGCCUUCUAAGUCGAACGUGAAAUCCCCGGGCUCAACCCGGGAACUGCGUCCGAUACUGGAAGGCUUGAAUCCGGGAGAGGGAUGCGGAAUUCCAGGUGUAGCGGUGAAAUGCGUAGAUAUCGGGAGGAACACCUGUGGCGAAAGCGGCUCACUGGACAGUAACUGACGCUGAUGCGCGAAAGCUAGGGGAGCAAACAGG
rnacentral:rRNA from 1 species